UCGAGAAUCUUUCGCAAUGGGGGAAACCCUGACGACGCGACGCCGCGUGGAGGAUGAAGGCCUUCGGGUUGUAAACUCCUGUCAGCAGGGGAGAACAAGCUUUUGGUGAAUAACUGAUAGCUUUGACAGUACCUGCAGAGGAAGCCACGGCUAACUCUGUGCCAGCAGCCGCGGUAAUACAGAGGUGGCAAGCGUUGUUCGGAUUUAUUGGGCGUAAAGGGUCCGUAGGCGGCCUGAAAAGUUGGAUGUGAAAUCCCACAGCUUAACUGUGGAACUGCAUUCAAAACUCUCAGGCUCGAGUGUGAUAGGGGUAAAGGGAAUUCCCGGUGUAAGGGUGAAAUCUGCAGAGAUCGGGAGGAACACCAGUCGCGAAGGCGCUUUACUGGAUCACUACUGACGCUGAGGGACGAAAGCCAGGGGAGCAAACGGG
rnacentral:rRNA from 1 species